rnacentral:rRNA from 1 species
CCUGAUGCAGCGACGCCGCGUGAGGGAUGACGGCCUUCGGGUUGUAAACCUCUUUCAGCAGGGAAGAAGCGUGAGUGACGGUACCUCCAAAAGAAGGACCGGCCAACUACGUGCCAGCAGCCGCGGUAAUACGUAGGGUCCGAGCGUUAUCCGGAAUCAUUGGGCGUAAAGAGCUCGUAGGCGGUUCAGCAAGUCGGCUGUGAAAGUCCGGGGCUCAACCCCGGAAUUGCAGUCGAUACUGCUGUGACUCGAGUCCGGUAGAGGAGAAUGGAAUUCCCGGUGUAGCGGUGAAAUGCGCAGAUAUCGGGAGGAACACCAGUAGCGAAGGCGGUUCUCUGGCCGGCACUGACGCUGAGGAGCGAAAGCGUGGGGAGCAAACAGGAUUAGAUACCCUGGUAGUCCACGCUGUAAACGUUGGAUACUAGGUGUGGCGGUCUUACCAACGACUGCCGUGCCGAAGCUAACGCAUUAAGUAUCCCGCCUGGGGAGUACGGCCGCAAGGCUA